ACUUGAUAACGUGAAAGUUAACUCAAAUUUGUAUGGAGUUGGAAAGUUUGACUACGUUUGCCAUUAGGGGCGCGAUUCCAAUUCCAUACAAAUUUGAGAUAACUUUCACGCUAUCGA
rnacentral:pre_miRNA from 9 species